rnacentral:rRNA from 1 species
GACGAACGCUGGCGGCGUGCUUAACACAUGCAAGUCGAACGGAAAGGCCCUGCUUUUGUGGGGUGCUCGAGUGGCGAACGGGUGAGUAACACGUGAGUAACCUGCCCUUGACUUUGGGAUAACUUCAGGAAACUGGGGCUAAUACUGGAUAGGAGCUCCUGCUGCAUGGUGGGGGUUGGAAAGUUUCGGCGGUUGGGGAUGGACUCGCGGCUUAUCAGCUUGUUGGUGGGGUAGUGGCUUACCAAGGCUUUGACGGGUAGCCGGCCUGAGAGGGUGACCGGCCACAUUGGGACUGAGAUACGGCCCAGACUCCUACGGGAGGCAGCAGUGGGGAAUAUUGCACAAUGGGCGGAAGCCUGAUGCAGCAACGCCGCGUGCGGGAUGACGGCCUUCGGGUUGUAAACCGCUUUCGCCUGUGACGAAGCGUGAGUGACGGUAAUGGGUAAAGAAGCACCGGCUAACACGUG